AGGGGAUGGGCUCGCGGCUUAUCAGCUUGUUGGUGAGGUAAUGGCUCACCAAGGCUUNGACGGGUAGCCGGCCUGAGAGGGUGACCGGCCACANUGGGACUGAGAUACGGCCCAGACUCCUACGGGAGGCAGCAGUGGGGAAUAUUGCACAAUGGGCGGAAGCCUGAUGCAGCAACGCCGCGUGNGGGAUGACGGCCUUCGGGUUGUAAACCGCUUUCGCAUGUGACGAAGCGUGAGUGACGGUAAUGGGUAAAGAAGCACCGGCUAACUAC
rnacentral:rRNA from 1 species